rnacentral:rRNA from 1 species
CCCAGACUCCUACGGGAGGCAGCAGUGAGGAAUAUUGGUCAAUGGGCGAGAGCCUGAACCAGCCAAGUCGCGUGAGGGAAGACGGUCCUAUGGAUUGUAAACCUCUUUUGCCGGGGAGCAAAAAGCGGUACGUGUACCGCAUCGAGAGUACCCGGAGAAAAAGCAUCGGCUAACUCCGUGCCAGCAGCCGCGGUACUACGGAGGAUGCGAGCGUUAUCCGGAUUUAUUGGGUUUAAAGGGUGCGCAGGCGGGGGGUAAAGUGCGGGUAAAAUUUUGGGGGCACAACCCGGCCGAGCCGUUGAAACUGGCUUGCUAGAGUGGGCGAGAAGUAUGCGGAAUGCGUGGUGUAGCGGUGAAAUGCAUAGAUAUCACGCAGAACUCCGAUUGCGAAGGCAGCAUACCGGCGCCCAACUGACGCUCAGGCACGAAAGCGUGGGUAUCGAACAGGAUUAGAUACCCCGGUAA